UACAGAGGGUGCGAGCGUUAAUCGGAAUUACUGGGCGUAAAGGGCGCGUAGGCGGCCUCUGCAAGUCGACUGUGAAAUCUCCGGGCUUAACCCGGAAAGGUCAGCCGAUACUGCAGGGCUAGAGUGCAGAAGGGGCAACUGGAAUUCUCGGUGUAGCGGUGAAAUGCGUAGAUAUCGAGAGGAACACCUGCGGCGAAGGCGGGUUGCUGGGCUGACACUGACGCUGAGGCGCGAAAGCUAGGGGAGCGAACGGG
rnacentral:rRNA from 1 species